UACGUAGGGUGCAAGCGUUGUCCGGAAUUAUUGGGCGUAAAGAGCUCGUAGGCGGUCUGUCACGUCGGAUGUGAAAAUCCAGGGCUUAACCCUGGACCUGCAUUCGAUACGGGCAGACUAGAGUUCGGUAGGGGAGACGUGGAAUUCCUGGUGUAGCGGUGAAAUGCGCAGAUAUCAGGAGGAACACCGGUGGCGAAGGCGGGUCUCUGGGCCGAUACUGACGCUGAGGAGCGAAAGCGUGGGGAGCGAACAGG
rnacentral:rRNA from 1 species